rnacentral:rRNA from 1 species
AACGAACGCUGGCGGCAUGCCUAACACAUGCAAGUCGAACGAGACCUUCGGGUCUAGUGGCGCACGGGUGCGUAACGCGUGGGAACCUGCCCUUAGGUUCGGAAUAACUCCCCGAAAGGGGUGCUAAUACCGGAUAAUGUCUUCGGACCAAAGAUUUAUCGCCUUUGGAUGGGCCCGCGUUGGAUUAGCUAGUUGGUAGGGUAAAAGCCUACCAAGGCGACGAUCCAUAGCUGGUCUGAGAGGAUGAUCAGCCACACUGGGACUGAGACACGGCCCAGACUCCUACGAGAGGCAGCAGUGGGGAAUAUUGGACAAUGGGCGAAAGCCUGAUCCAGCAAUGCCGCGUGAGUGAUGAAGGCCUUAGGGUUGUAAAGCUCUUUUACCCGGGAUGAUAAUGACAGUACCGGGAGAAUAAGCUCCGGCUAACUCCGUG